rnacentral:rRNA from 1 species
AUGAGUAACACAACUAUAUCUGUUUGUUCCUGGAAUGUACGAGGACUAGGUGAUGAAUCCAAAUGCGCCGAUGUCCUUUCUAAACUGAUCAGUAUCAAACCCCACUGCGCCCUCAUACAAGAAUCAAAGCUCAAUGAGAUCACCGAACAAAAAUUUAGGUCCUUCUUACCACGAUCUCUAGAUCAAAAAAUCGUCCCACCAGCAGACGGAUCGGCCGGAGGAACCAUCUCUGCUUUCAACAAAAACUACCUCUCCUUAAUCUCUCACUCCAACCACCGUUUUGCCACAUCCAGUACACUCAAAUCACUCGCCCACCCCCUUCCCUUUGUUAUCACAAACGUAUAUGCACCCUCAAACCACAACCACAAGCAAGACUUCCUUGACGAACUCAGACGCAUCCAAGAAAAUGACCAAACCCCGUGGCUCAUUGCAGGCGACUUUAACCAAAUCCGCUUUCCUAGUGAAAAAAACAACCGUAAUUUUCACCAACGCGAAGCUGAUGCUUUUAACACUUUUAUCAACGACCUCGCGUUAAUCGAACUACCACUGCUUGAUAGACGUUUCACUUGGUCUAACAAA